UAUUUUUACCCAGGGAGGUCUGACCUUAAAUGGUCAGAAGUCAGCAGAAGUCAUAUUAGCUGGUUAAUACCAGUGAAGGGC
rfam:Actinobacteria bacterium RBG_13_35_12 RBG_13_scaffold_1479, whole genome shotgun sequence.